AUGUAUCCACUCUGUCUUAUUUCCUGGUGACGAUCAGCGCCUACAUGUAGAUGAUAUUAACCAGUGUUUAUUUGUUAGAGACAAAUGCCAGUUAAACAGAUAAAGGACAAGUAAGAAGUUAUCGCUACUGUCGAUGUUUUAGAGAUCAACGGAGAAAACAGAUACAACCGCAGGUCUCUUUUUCCCUGUGUUGAGCGUCUAAUCAAAUCCAAAUCCCUUGUAGGGCCCCCGAAUGGAGGAAGUCCCUUUGACGUCAUCGCUAAACUUUCUCUUUCGCCACGUUUAUUAUACCUAACACUGACAAGGUUAUUCGGUGGGGGAAGGAUGGAUUCCCUGUGAAUCGUUCUUAUCUCGUUUUUUUUUCAUAGAGAUGACAAAGGCCUCGGAACUUUGCGGUUAUUAGCUGUAGCCUAAUAUGACGUCGCAGUCCUCGCACUCGGAACACUCAUCCCAUCACAUGCAGUUUUUCUCCGUGGGAGUGAAUGUUCCCAUUCUGUUCAAAGAAUGGAAUCUCAACACAAAAACAGGCACGUAAUAUGACGUCAUCAGUGCAUGCCGUUAUUUUUUUUUACCUUAUCUUAAAUUGUCUGGGUUUUUUUUUUUUGCUUUAAAUUGCAUUGUUCUGUAUUCUCUACCAGUCAGUGUCAAUAGUGUAAUUGUGUAGCCCACGUAAAGAAUAGCAAAACUGAAUCCAGUACAUGUAUCUAAAUCUCUGGUGUUAAAUCAGAGGUUGAUCACUGAAAUGAAGUGGGGGGGGGGUAUAGAUCUGCGAAAGCGUUUUUGGUUGGAAUUCUUUUUUAAUAUCAUGUUGUCGUCAAGUUAUUAUUAAGCCAAUGGGAAGUUGCUGGAUCCUGAUUUGACAGGUCUUUUCCUGGCUUGUAUUGUACUGUUGUUGAUUUGACAGGUCUUUUCCUGGCUUGUAUUGUACUGUUGUUGAUUUGACAGGUCUGUUUCUGACUUGUGUGGGGAGUAUUCUGUUGGGAGUUCUCUACCAGAUCGUCAAGUGUCUCCGCCAGUACGCUCACCGCAGAUACCGGGUCAGAGAAAGGGGGACCAUUAAGAGUCGGGAGCACGGCCUACAGACCUUGUUGUACUUCGUACAGAUGACUAGUAGCUACGUCCUGAUGCUGAUCAUAAUGACUUUCAAUGCCUGGGUCUUUGUGUCCGCCGUUGCUGGACUGGGUCUGGGGUACUUCCUGUGUGGCUGGGCGUACCCGGAAAUGGAUAAUAAAAUGACAUGUCCGGAUCUGUGCAAAAAUGAAGAAACUCAUCGUCAUGGCAACGGGGACACAGAACAAGAGUUAAAACUGUUGCCAAGUCCGUCUGCAGCAAACUGCGAAGAAUGUUCAAUGUGAUGUUAUUUAUACUGUUUGAUGUAUGUAUUUUGAGAUGUUAUUUCCAGUAAUAGUACAAUAAUUUAAUUCUGGUUGUAAUGCGGCUUCUGAUUGGCUAAAAAAUUAUUUUAUAUCGUAUAAAGAAUGUUGCCUACGUCAUAGUAAGACUAAUGUCAAAGUCAAAAACGUAUCAAUACGCCUGACGUUACGUUUGAAUUUUGUGCAAUUUUACAUUAUUUUAAAAGUCAAAUGCCCGUUUAUCUACAAUGAAGAGUAAAAAAAAAAUAAAUUAUAAGUAUUCAAUAUUUAUUUGUUUUAUACGAUAUAAAAUGGUUUGAAACAGUUUACGCUUUUUUAUAAACCGCUACGCGGUUUUUAAAGCGUAAACUGUCCCAAACCAUUUUAUAUCAUAUAAAACAAAUAUUGAAUUUAUUUAAUUAAAAAUUCAUUAUGACGUCACAAACAGUGCGUGAAAUGUAUAUUAUGACGUAAUUAAUAAUGUGAGAAACGUUCAUUAUGACGUCUACAACAGUGUUUGAAAUGUUUUUGACGUCACUACAUGUGAAUCUUGCAUUUGAACAGUGCAAAUAGAUAAUAAUAUUAUUUUUUAUACAGUAAGUGUUUAGUGGUUACUACAUAUCAGUUAUUAGAUGUGACCUUUAGUUCAAUAUUUUAUGGUGCUUGUAUUUAACAUUAUUAUAUAAAUGUCUUGUUAUGUUUUGUUUAUUAUUUACAUUUUUGACAUUAAACAACAAUGCCAUGAC
rnacentral:misc_RNA from 1 species